GACGAACGCUGGUGGCGUGCUUGACACAUGCAAGUCGAACGGAAAGGCCCUGCUUUUGUGGGGUGCUCGAGUGGCGAACGGGUGAGUAACACGUGAGUAACCUGCCCUUGACUUUGGGAUAACUUCAGGAAACUGGGGCUAAUACCGGAUAGGAGCUCCUGCUGCAUGGUGGGGGUCGGAAAGUUUCGGCGGUUGGGGAUGGACUCGCGGCUUAUCAGCUUGUUGGUGGGGUAGUGGCUUACCAAGGCUUUGACGGGUAGCCGGCCUGAGAGGGUGACCGGCCACAUUGGGACUGAGAUACGGCCCAGACUCCUACGGGAGGCAGCAGUGGGGAAUAUUGCACAAUGGGCGGAAGCCUGAUGCAGCAACGCCGCGUGCGGGAUGACGGCCUUCGGGUUGUAAACCGCUUUCGCCUGUGACGAAGCGUGAGUGACGGUAAUGGGUAAAGAAGCACCGGCUAACUACGUGCCAGCAGCCGCGGUGAUACGUAGGGUGCGAGCGUUGUCCGGAUUUAUUGGGCGUAAAGGGCUCGUAGGUGGUUGAUCGCGUCGGAAGUGUAAUCUUGGGGCUUAACCCUGAGCGUGCUUUCGAUACGGGUUGACUUGAGGAAGGUAGGGGAGAAUGGAAUUCCUGGUGGAGCGGUGGAAUGCGCAGAUAUCAGGAGGAACACCAGUGGCGAAGGCGGUUCUCUGGGCCUUUCCUGACGCUGAGGAGCGAAAGCGUGGGGAGCGAACAGGCUUAGAUACCCUGGUAGUCCACGCUGUAAACGGUGGGUACUAGGUGUGGGGUCCAUUCCACGGGUUCCGUGCCGUAGCUAACGCUUUAAGUACCCCGCCUGGGGAGUACGGCCGCAAGGCUAAAACUCAAAGGAAUUGACGGGGCCCCGCACAAGCGGCGGAGCAUGCGGAUUAAUUCGAUGCAACGCGUAGAACCUUACCUGGGUUUGACAUGGAUCGGGAGUGCUCAGAGAUGGGUGUGCCUCUUUUGGGGUCGGUUCACAGGUGGUGCAUGGCUGUCGUCAGCUCGUGUCGUGAGAUGUUGGGUUAAGUCCCGCAACGAGCGCAACCCUUGUUCACUGUUGCCAGCACGUUAUGGUGGGGACUCAGUGGAGACCGCCGGGGUCAACUCGGAGGAAGGUGGGGAUGACGUCAAGUCAUCAUGCCCCUUAUGUCCAGGGCUUCACGCAUGCUACAAUGGCUGGUACAGAGAGUGGCGAGCCUGUGAGGGUGAGCGAAUCUCGGAAAGCCGGUCUCAGUUCGGAUUAGGGUCUGCAACUCGACCUCAUGAAGUCGGAGUCGCUAGUAAUCGCAGAUCAGCAACGCUGCGGUGAAUACGUUCCCGGGGCU
rnacentral:rRNA from 1 species